rnacentral:rRNA from 1 species
GACAGAGGUGCCAAGCGUUAGGCGGAAUCACUGGGCUUAAAGCGUGUGUAGGCGGACUUGUAAGUACCUUGUGAAAUCCCACGGCUCACCCGUGGAACUGCUGGGUAUACUGCGAGUCUUGAGCAACUUAGGGGCUGUCGGAACAGGCGGUGGAGCGGUGAAAUGCGUAGAUAUCGCCUGGAACGCCAAAGGUGAAAACAGACAGCUGGGAGUGUGCUGACGCUGAGACACGAAAGCCAGGGGAGCGAACGGG